rnacentral:rRNA from 1 species
GACGAACGCUGGCGGCGUGCUUAACACAUGCAAGUCGAACGGAAAGGCCCUGCUUUUGUGGGGUGCUCGAGUGGCGAACGGGUGGGUAACACGUGAGUAACCUGCCCUUGACUUUGGGAUAAAUUCAGGAAACUGGGGCUAAUACCGGAUAGGAGCUCCUGCUGCAUGGUGGGGGUUGGAAAGUUUCGGCGGUUGGGGAUGGACUCGCGGCUUAUCAGCUUGUUGGUGGGGUAGUGGCUUACCAAGGCUUUGACGGGUAGCCGGCCUGAGAGGGUGACCGGCCACAUUGGGACUGAGAUACGGCCCAGACUCCUACGGGAGGCAGCAGUGGGGAAUAUUGCACAAUGGGCGGAAGCCUGAUGCAGCAACGCCGCGUGCGGGAUGACGGCCUUCGGGUUGUAAACCGCUUUCGCCUGUGACGAAGCGUGAGUGACGGUAAUGGGUAAAGAAGCACCGGCUAACUACGUG